CCUACGGGUGGCUGCAGUGAGGAAUAUUGGUCAAUGGACGAGAGUCUGAACCAGCAAAGUAGCGUGAAGGAUGACUGCCCUAUGGGUUGUAAACUUCUUUUAUAUGGGAAUAAAAUGUUCCACGUGUGGGAUUUUGUAUGUACCAUAUGAAUAAGGAUCGGCUAACUCCGUGCAAGCAGCCGCGGUAAUACGGAGGAUCCGAGCGUUAUCCGGAUUUAUGGGGUUUAAAGGGAGCGUAGUUGGAUUGGUAAGUCAGUUGUGAAAGUUUGCGGCUCAACCGUAAAAUUGCAGUUGAAACUGGCAGUCUGGAGUACAGUAGAGGUGGGCGGAAUUCGUGGUGUAGCGGUGAAAUGCUUAGAUAUCACGAAGAACUCCGAUUGCGAAGGCAGCUCACUGGACUGCAACUGACACUGAGGCUCGAAAGUGUGGGUAUCAAACAGGAUUAGAUACCCUAGUAGUC
rnacentral:rRNA from 1 species